AGCGGACAGAUGGGAGCUUGCUCCCUGAUGUUAGCGGCGGACGGGUGAGUAACACGUGGGUAACCUGCCUGUAAGACUGGGAUAACUCCGGGAAACCGGGGCUAAUACCGGAUGGUUGUUUGAACCGCAUGGUUCAAACAUAAAAGGUGGCUUCGGCUACCACUUACAGAUGGACCCGCGGCGCAUUAGCUAGUUGGUGAGGUAAUGGCUCACCAAGGCAACGAUGCGUAACCGACCUGAGAGGGUGAUCGGCCACACUGGGACUGAGACACGGCCCAGACUCCUACGGGAGGCAGCAGUAGGGAAUCUUCCGCAAUGGACGAAAGUCUGACGGAGCAACGCCGCGUGAGUGAUGAAGGUUUUCGGAUCGUAAAGCUCUGUUGUUAGGGAAGAACAAGUACCGUUCGAAUAGGGCGGUACCUUGACGGUACCUAACCAGAAAGCCACGGCUAACUACGUGCCAGCAGCCGCGGUAAUACGUAGGUGGCAAGCGUUGUCCGGAAUUAUUGGGCGUAAAGGGCUCGCAGGCGGUUUCUUAAGUCUGAUGUGAAAGCCCCCGGCUCAACCGGGGAGGGUCAUUGGAAACUGGGGAACUUGAGUGCAGAAGAGGAGAGUGGAAUUCCACGUGUAGCGGUGAAAUGCGUAGAGAUGUGGAGGAACACCAGUGGCGAAAGCGACUCUCUGGUCUGUAACUGACGCUGAGGAGCGAAAGCGUGGGGAGCGAACACGGAUUAAAUACCCUGGUAGUCCACGCCGUAAACGAUGAGUGCUA
rnacentral:rRNA from 1 species